rnacentral:lncRNA from 1 species
AGGAAUCAAGUGGGAUUACUUGGAAGAUUUAAGGCCAGUGGAAUCACUUGGGAUGGAUGUUGUUAUGGGCUGAAUCGUGUCUCUCCAAAAUUCACAUGUGGCAGCCCUAACCCCAGCACCUCAGAAUGACCAUAUUUGGAGAUAGGGCCUUUAAAGAGGUGAUUAAGUUAAAAUGAGGCCAUUAGGGUGGGCCCUAAUCCAAUCUGACUGGUGUCCUUAUAAGAAGAGGAAAUGUGGACACAGAGAGGCCCCAGGGGUACACACAGAGGAAAGGCCGUGUGAGGACACAGAGACAAAGCAGGCACGUACAAGCCAGGAAGAGAGGCCUCAGGAGAAACCAAACCUGCCGACACCUUAGUCUUGGACUUCCAGCCUCCAGAACGGGAGUUCCUGGGAAAGACGAAUGCCGUUGGAAGCGGAAAUUCUUGGCAAUGAGAAAAAAAAUGUGCCCCACGCAGACACAGCCCCCACCCAAGCAACUCUCCAGCUUCAAAGGAUUCAGCAAGUGUCCAGGCCCUGCUGCUCGGAAUGCACGAGGGCUGGUCCAGGGACAUGGGCCAGGCUGCCAGGGAGGCCUGCUCGCUUCCCUGCCUCUGCUGCGGGCCAGGGCCGCCCUUGCUCCUUUGGAUCACGGGUAACAAGGAACGCCAGGAAGACCUCGAUGUUCUUGGAUUCUGCAAGUAAGCAAGCCUUGAAGUCGGGACCGAGGCAGCUGGGAGAGGCCUGGAGACCACCAUGCCCGAGAAGAGGGUCCAGAGAGGCCAAGCACCCUGCCCGAGUCACACAGCCCGAUGAGGCCAAGCCGGGCUUGCAUAUGGCUCUGAUUGGCAGGCCAGUUUCUUUCCUUCUCGUUCCUGCAGCACCUGCACGUGGAAGUAGAGCCUUUUCUGGGAUUUGCUGCUGAAAAGUCACUGUGUAUCUGUGGGUGUUGGGAGUGGAGGCUUCGUGAGGGCGGGCUGUUCACUGGGAGCCAAGCCCCAGGUCACCACCCAGGCCAGCAUGGGGUGGUGCUCACAGCCACCAAAGCAACACCAUAUCCCAGAUUUGCCACUUCAUCAUUUAAUAAAUAUUUAUUGUGCCCCUACUGGGUGCCAGGCACUGUUCCAGACACUGGGGAUAUAGCAGUGAACAAAAUGGGCAGAAACUUCUGCCCUUGCCUUCCCCCUAGUGAGGGAGCUAAUAAAAUAAGUAAAUUACAUAGUAGCUUAGGUGACAAGCAGGGAAGGGAGAUAAGUACAGAGAAGG